rnacentral:tRNA from 3 species
GGAGAGGUGGCUGAGUGGCCGAAAGCGCCCGUUUGCUAAAUGGGUAUACCCCAAAAGGGUAUCGUGGGUUCGAAUCCCAUCCUCUCCGCCA